UGCUUGAUAAGCUUGCUUCUCUUCUUCAUUUUGCCUCUCUUCAAUCGAUCCCUCGAAGUACCCCGCCGCCGUGCCGCCGCCGCCACCGCCGCGCAUCUCCCUCUCCUUGCUUAUCUCCGGCGUGUUCUUCUUUGUCGGCGCCAUCUGGAUCGUCUUCGCCAUUGUCAUGCUCCUUCGCCCCCCGAGGACACGCUUAGGAACUUUCGGUCAAGAUCUAGCGUUGGUGGCGGUGCUGGGUUGGAGGAUCGGCCGAAGCUGCUGGGUUUCGUCGGGGUGCAGACGGGGUUUGGAUUGAAAACCUAAUUAGAUACCAGUUUCUCUGAGCUUAAAUGGCAUUUUUGCCCCCAACCUAAUUAGAUCCGGAGGUGUGGUUGGUGGAGGAUUUGGACUGAUUUUGAAGCACAGGAGGGUGCAUGCUGCAUCUUUAGCUGCCAAUUUGGCAAUUGUUGCUGGUUGCUAUUGCGAUCAGUGCUCAAGCAACCACUUCUUCAUUGGCUCUGUUUUUGGAAUUUAAAGGGAGGAACGUGAAGGCAGUUGGAGAGAAGGUCAGGAAGUGCUAAGAUGAGAUUUGCGUCAAACUCUUAGUCAAGUCCAAGAUCAUGAGGAGAGGCUUCAACAAACACUUGACCAAGUCCAAGAUCGUGAGGAGAGGCUUCAACAGACGCUUGGUCAAGUACAAAAUAAUAACAAGGAGCUUCAACAAAGUUUGCUUGAAAUGAAAGUAGAGAGGGACCAAUAUCGUGCGGAGAUGAUGCUUCAAAUGAAGGACAUGAUGAUGAGUUUUGAGAGGAGGAUUCUUCAGCAGUCGCAGUUUACCACACAGGGCUCACAACCAGUUACCGACGAUCAUGAUGUUGGCUUAUAGUUGUAUUUGUCGUAUACUUAUUAUUUUGUGUUGAACAUAUAUACUUAAAUAUUUCUUUUUGUAUGAA